GAUGAACGCUGGCGGCGUGCCUAAUACAUGCAAGUCGAGCGAACAGACGAGAAGCUUGCUUCUCUGACGUUAGCGGCGGACGGGUGAGUAACACGUGGAUAACCUACCUAUAAGACUGGGAUAACUUCGGGAAACCGGAGCUAAUACCGGAUAAUAUUUUGAACCGCAUGGUUCAAUAGUGAAAGACGGUUUUGCUGUCACUUAUAGAUGGAUCCGCGCUGCAUUAGCUAGUUGGUAAGGUAACGGCUUACCAAGGCAACGAUGCAUAGCCGACCUGAGAGGGUGAUCGGCCACACUGGAACUGAGACACGGUCCAGACUCCUACGGGAGGCAGCAGUAGGGAAUCUUCCGCAAUGGGCGAAAGCCUGACGGAGCAACGCCGCGUGAGUGAUGAAGGUCUUCGGAUCGUAAAACUCUGUUAUUAGGGAAGAACAUAUGUGUAAGUAACUAUGCACGUCUUGACGGUACCUAAUCAGAAAGCCACGGCUAACUACGUG
rnacentral:rRNA from 1 species